rnacentral:rRNA from 1 species
GCUAUUUACAGGCUUAACACAUGCAAGUCGAGGGGCAUCAGGAAGAAAGCUUGCUUUCUUUGCUGGCGACCGGCGCACGGGUGAGUAACACGUAUCCAACCUGCCCUUUACUCGGGGAUAGCCUUUCGAAAGAAAGAUUAAUACCCGAUGGCAUAAUGAUUCCGCAUGGUUUCAUUAUUAAAGGAUUCCGGUAAAGGAUGGGGAUGCGUUCCAUUAGGUUGUUGGUGAGGUAACGGCUCACCAAGCCUUCGAUGGAUAGGGGUUCUGAGAGGAAGGUCCCCCACAUUGGAACUGAGACACGGUCCAAACUCCUACGGGAGGCAGCAGUGAGGAAUAUUGGUCAAUGGGCGCUAGCCUGAACCAGCCAAGUAGCGUGAAGGAUGAAGGCUCUAUGGGUCGUAAACUUCUUUUAUAUAAGAAUAAAGUGCAGUAUGUAUACUGUUUUGUAUGUAUUAUAUGAAUAAGGAUCGGCUAACUCCGUGCCAGCAGCCGCGGUAAUACGGAGGAUCCGAGCGUUAUCCGGAUUUAUUGGGUUUAAAGGGAGCGUAGGUGGACUGGUAAGUCAGUUGUGAAAGUUUGCGGCUCAACCGUAAAAUUGCAGUUGAUACUGUCAGUCUUGAGUACAGUAGAGGUGGGCGGAAUUCGUGGUGUAGCGGUGAAAUGCUUAGAUAUCACGAAGAACUCCGAUUGCGAAGGCAGCUCACUGGACUGCAACUGACACUGAUGCUCGAAAGUGUGGGUAUCAAACAGGAUUAGAUACCCUGGUAGUCCACACAGUAAACGAUGAAUACUCGCUGUUUGCGAUAUACAGUAAGCGGCCAAGCGAAAGCAUUAAGUAUUCCACCUGGGGAGUACGCCGGCAACGGUGAAACUCAAAGGAAUUGACGGGGGCCCGCACAAGCGGAGGAACAUGUGGUUUAAUUCGAUGAUACGCGAGGAACCUUACCCGGGCUUAAAUUGCAGUGGAAUGAUGUGGAAACAUGUCAGUGAGCAAUCACCGCUGUGAAGGUGCUGCAUGGUUGUCGUCAGCUCGUGCCGUGAGGUGUCGGCUUAAGUGCCAUAACGAGCGCAACCCUUAUCUUUAGUUACUAACAGGUUAUGCUGAGGACUCUAGAGAGACUGCCGUCGUAAGAUGUGAGGAAGGUGGGGAUGACGUCAAAUCAGCACGGCCCUUACGUCCGGGGCUACACACGUGUUACAAUGGGGGGUACAGAAGGCAGCUAGCGGGUGACCGUAUGCUAAUCCCAAAAGCCUCUCUCAGUUCGGAUCGAAGUCUGCAACCCGACUUCGUGAAGCUGGAUUCGCUAGUAAUCGCGCAUCAGCCACGGCGCGGUGAAUACGUUCCCGGGCCUUGUACACACCGCCCGUCAAGCCAUGGGAGCCGGGGGUACCUGAAGUACGUAACCGCAAGGAUCGUCCUAGGGUAAAACUGGUGACUGGGGCU